rnacentral:rRNA from 1 species
GGCCCUGCGCCGAAAAUAUCCGGGGCUAAAGCACAGAACCGAAGCCGCGGCAGGGUGUACUAAGGUACACACUGGGUAGGGGAGCGUUCUUAUCUGGACGAAGGCAGACCGGAAGGACUGCUGGACGGGUAAGAAGUGAGAAUGCCGGUAUGAGUAGCGAAACGACAGGUGAGAAUCCUGUCCACCGAAAGCCUAAGGGAUCCUGGGCAACGCUCGUCGUCCCAGGGUAAGUCGGGACCUAAGCCGAGGCGAAAAGCAUAGGCGAUGGACAACUGGCGAAAAUUCCAGUACCGGGCGUCUUCGUUUGAGGAUGGAGUGACGCAGGAAGGAAGCUGAGCGCGCGAAUGGUUGGGCGCGUCGAAGGCGGUAGGCUUGUAUGGAGGCAAAUCCCCAUACUAUAAGGCCGAGAACCGAUAGAUAGGAAAGACUACGGUCAAUCUGAAUUCAGCUGCACUACACUGCCAAGAAAAGCUUCUAACGAGAAGACGUCCGCCCGUACCAAAACCGACACAGGUAGGCGGGGAGAGAAUCCUAAGGUGCGCGGGAAAACCCUCGUUAAGGAACUCGGCAAAAUGUAUCCGUAACUUCGGGAAAAGGAUAGCCGGAGCUAGUGAAAGCCUACACGGCUGGAGCGAGAGCCGGUGGCACAAGAGAGGCCCAGGCGACUGUUUAGCACAAACACAGGUACUUGCGAAAGAGAAAUCUGAAGUAUAAGCGCUGACGCCUGCCCGGUGCUGGAAGGUUAAGGAAAGAGGUCAAGAGCAAUCUGAAGCUUCGAACUGAAGCCCCAGUGAACGGCGGCCGUAACUAUAACGGUCCUAAGGUAGCGAAAUUCCUUGUCGGGUAAGUUCCGACCCGCACGAAAGGCGUAACGAUUUGGGCACUGUCUCAACGAGGGACCCGGUGAAAUUGAAAUACCUGUGAAGAUGCAGGUUACCCGCGACUGGACAGAAAGACCCCAUGGAGCUUUACUGCAGCUUGGCAUUGGUCUUUGGCAUAUGACGUACAGGAUAGCCGGGAGACUGGGAGGAUAGAUCGCUAGAUUUAUCGGAGUCACCGUUGGGAUACCGGCCUUCAUAUGCGAAGGAUCUAACCGGAAUGUUAACAGCAUUCGGGACAGUACCAGGCGGGCAGUUUGACUGGGGCGGUCGCCUCCGAAAGAGCAACGGAGGCGUCCAAAGGUUCCCUCAGCGCGGACAGAAAUCGCGCGCAGAGCAUAAAGGCACAAGGGAGCUUGACUGCGAGACUGACGGGUCGAGCAGGUACGAAAGUAGGGCUUAGUGAUCCGGUGGAAAGAGAGUGGAAUUGCCAUCGCUCAACGGAUAAAAGCUACCCUGGGGAUAACAGGCUAAUCUCUCCCAA